CACACACUGAAACUCUCACACACACUGCACCUCUCUCACACACACACUGCCCCCUGACAUACACUGCCGCCCUCACGCACUCGCACACACACUUCACCGCUCACACACACACAUACACACGCACACUGCACCUUUCACACACACUUCACCCCUAACACAUACCACUGCUCCUAUGCCCUAUAUCCCAGCAGACCCCAGGUA